UACGUAGGGGGCAAGCGUUAUCCGGAUUCAUUGGGCGUAAAGCGCGCGCAGGCGGACCGUUAAGCGGGACCUCUAAUCCUAAGGCUCAACCUUAGACCGGGUCCCGAACUGGCGUAGUCUCGAGUGCGGUAGGGGAGAUCGGAAUUCCCGGUGUAGCGGUGGAAUGCGCAGAUAUCGGGAAGAACACCGAUGGCGAAGGCAGAUCUCUGGGCCGUCACUGACGCUGAGGCGCGAAAGCUAGGGGAGCG
rnacentral:rRNA from 1 species